CCUACGGGUGGCAGCAGUGGGGAAUAUUGGGCAAUGGAGGAAACUCUGACCCAGCAAUGCCGCGUGAAUGAAGAAGGUCUUCGGAUUGUAAAGUUCUUUAGUCAGGGAAGAAUAAAAUGACGGUACCCGAAGAAUAAGCUCCGGCUAACUACGUGCCAGCCGCCGCGGUAAUACGUAGGGAGCAAGCGUUGUUCGGAAUGACUGGGCGUAAAGGGUGCGUAGGGGGUUAUACAAAUAAGAACGGAAAUACCCGGGGCUUAACUCGGGUGCUGCAUCUACAACUGUAUGACUUGAGUGCGGGAGAGGUAAGUGGAAUUCCUAGUGUAGCGGUGGAAUGCGUAGAUAUUAGGAAGAACACCAGUGGCGAAGGCAGCUAACUGGACUGCAACUGACGCUGAGGCACGAAAGUGUGGGGAGCAAACAGGAUUAGAUACCCGAGUAGUC
rnacentral:rRNA from 1 species